rnacentral:tRNA from 1 species
UGUAGGGUGAUGAAAUUGGCAGCCAUGCCCUCUUGUCUCGAGGGUGGGGAACCAGGAACAAAUCUCGGCUUGCUGGGACCAACCUCCUCGUGAAGGUUCGAAUCCUUCCCCUACAGCCA